rnacentral:rRNA from 1 species
CCUAUGGGCGGCAGCAGUGAGGAAUAUUGGUCAAUGGACGAGAGUCUGAACCAGCCAAGUAGCGUGAAGGAUGACUGCCCUAUGGGUUGUAAACUUCUUUUAUAAAGGAAUAAAACGAGGCACGUGUGCCUUUUUGCAUGUACUUUAUGAAUAAGGAUCGGCUAACUCCGUGCCAGCAGCCGCGGUAAUACGGAGGAUCCGAGCGUUAUCCGGAUUUAUUGGGUUUAAAGGGAGCGUAGAUGGGUUGUUAAGUCAGUUGUGAAAGUUUGAGGCUCAACCAUAAAAUUGCAAGUGAUACUGGCAGUCUAGAGUACAGUUGAGGUAGGCGGAAUUCGUGGUGUAGCGGUGAAAUGCUGAGAGAUCACGAAGAACACCGAUUGCGAAGGCAGCUUACUAAGCUGUGACUGACAUUGAUGCACGAAAGUGUGGGGAUCAAACAGGAUUAGAUACCCGGGUAGUC